UGGGAAUGCGGCCCGAGAAUUGGGUCAAAAUGGGCGGAAAAGUUUUACAAGGAGUCGGUGACUCAUUGAUUGAAAGUUAUUAAUUGUUGGUUGGGUACUGGAAUGGAUGACACACUUUGCACGUGACAACUGAUGUUAGCUGAAGGAUAUCUGAGUUGAAUCCAAAAUGAUGGUUAUAUUUGGGGGCUAAACUUUAUGGCCGUUUCUUUUUUUAUUCAAUUAGUAAUUAUAAUAUUUGAAAUAACAGUUAAAUUUUAAAAAUUUUCAAAGUUUUGUCACCUUAUAUCUUACAACUGAAUAAAUAUAAUUAAUGGUAGUUAUGCAACCAUAUAUACACCAAGCCAUCGAUGUCAACUACCUAUGUACUAAUGAAUUAAUUUACUCAUGUUUUGGAGGACAAAAUAUGCCCACAAUUUCAAAUAUUUCCAAAUAAUUCCAACAACGACUGCAACGUUUUGAAGAAGAUGGAUUUUGGGCGGAUUUUGACAAAGAGAAGGCAGGCUUUUCGGGGAUAACACCCAAGACGUUCCAUACCGGGCAUUUUUGUGUGAGAUGAGGCAGAACUGGAGUUUGUUGUUGACUAUCCGGACAUCUUCAUAUUGGAACGGAGCUUUGGAGAAAGCAUGAAUAUUUUGUUUUAGGGGAAACUUUCACAC